rnacentral:lncRNA from 13 species
GUGUGUGUGUGUGUGCGUACAUGUGGCAGCUUCACAUCUUCAUGCUUUCCUCUGUAUAGGCCAAGGCAGGGAUCCUUCCAAUAGGUCCACAGGUUGGCUCCCAGCACUCAUUGUGUAGGAACAAUACAGAUAUGCAGACAUUUUUAACAAAAACAUGUUUAAUUAUUAUUAUUAUUAUUAUUUUUUUUACAAAUCACAGUGGUUCAAAAAUAUUAAAUAAUGAUUUUUUUAUUUUUCAAAAGCAGCAAAACAUUCUGAUUGUUGUCUUUUUUUAUAAGCCCUUAGUAUUGUGUAUGUGGUGUGUUGUGUUUCAUAAGCGUAUUAACACAAGCAGGUAAAUCUUGGUUUAAUAAUGUAUUAGUACACACAUGGUUUAAAGGCUACAUAAUAGACGGAAAGUGCAGGCCUUGACAGACUGCCGAGUGCAAAAGAUCAGUUUGUUACGAAAUCUGAAAUCUGUUGGACCCCAAUGUCUUUCCCACAGUUUAUUAUCUAUAGCUUCGCUUGUUUGGAUGAUGUAACAAGGUUUGGGUGACAUAUUUGUAAGCUCUCAAGUCGGGUGCCUUACUACUGUAGACUACCGUAGGCCUCAUUAGCAGAGCCUCUCUGGUACACAGCAUAGGAUUUACGAAAGAUGGGUCGAUCCACAGGCACUAAGAGACAAGAAGGAAAGCUGCCUGGUUGAAUGUGCGCGCGUGUGUUUUUAGCUUGGGUGCCAACCUGAACCCAGAAGGCAGUGGUUUGGAGGCCCCCUCAUGCACAUGGCAAGCCUAUAGGAGGGCUCGGGAAGACAGGCAACUGCGUGAGAAUAUCUCAAAAGGCACAGGAGACGCCAGGCCAGGGACAAACAACAAUGGUUGCUUUCCAUGAAUAAAUGUCAUGUUAGAAAAUAUUAGCUUAAUCAAUGCUACAGCAAAUUCUCAUAGGAACACUCAUGUUUUCUUGAGUUUGUACUACUACACUCUAUAGCUAAUCUGAACUAGGGUGAUGUUAAAGUGACACCAUAAAAGAGUCUGGACUAAAUGACUGUAGUGCAGUAACCGCAGUUCAAAUAAUAGUCCAUCAUCUCACACCAAAUGUGAAGUUACAGAAAUGAGCCUCUAGGGGAAAAUGGGACUCAACUGUCGGUGGCUGGUCAAAGCCAAGGAAUCGUUUUACAAGUCCAAUCAAAACAGUCCAUUUAGCUCCCAAGGCAGCCCGUUGUAUAAAUGGGACAUUCUCAAGGUGUAUGAAUUCAUAUAGUGUUAGAACUGGAGUGGCAAACUACAACUAUGUACUGUACUAGCACUGUCAAUUCCUGGGGCAACCACAUGCCCAACAGCUGGCAACCCAAGAACACCAUGUCUCAUAUCUAACCUGCUGCUUCCAAAACACCACAGAACAGUGCUAAGAUAAUGCUAUAACAGUGUACAAGAAGCAAGACAUCUCUGUAAAAUUCCUGUGUACCGUCAAUGUUAUUCGGAGAAUAAUAUGAUAUAAAAUUAGAAUAUUACGACUAAAGAGGCUUCCCACAAUAUAGACGCAGGCUUCAAUGUCAGCCACUAAUUCUAUGAAUAAUAUCACUGAGUCCAGUUUGUCUUUGUCCGUGAGCAUGAGACACCCACUCAAUAAAACCAAGUACACCACAUGGACAGUUAAAAAACAAAAGGACCCCAUGCUACAAAAUAUCAUUGUUUUUUUAUAAACUUUUGAAAGAAGUAGUCCAUGCCAAGCACAAAAAGGCAGAGGUAAAACGACAGAAAAUAAGAAAAGUGCAAUCCAAUAUUAAAAGUCAAGAGAAAAGUGUCAUUACAAUGCCAAAAUUAGGCCACCAUGCAAAAAUACUAAUAACCACAUCCCACAAGUAUUGACCAUCAUUCACACAAGGAAACCAGUAUCCUCAUAGUAAGCUUUGGUAUCCGUGAGGUCAGAGGUGUCUAACCCUGGGUCUCUAGGGGUUUACAGUGGCUCCUCUGCUGGUUUGGGACUGACUCAAUCAGUUUGCCAACCAGAAACAGACCUUACAAUAUAUGAAAUCCCCUUCAUCUACUAAUUUAAGGACUGUCGUUGACUGACCACCAGUAGACCCAGUGUCUCUCCAGGAGGGCUGGGGUCUGUUGCCACAGAGGGAGGCUCAGUUGUAGGAGACAGACCAGGGAGAGACCUGCCUCUCUGGCCUGGGUGGGGGGUGAGACUGGGUGUGUUAGCAUAACCAGACACUGAAUCAAUCAGUUCAGCUAUUAUCCUUUGCAGAACCUGUCUGUAACUGUAUACAACUACCUUAAAACUACACUGUACACUUAAGAGUAUACUCGGUUCCUAAUAGUGGAUGUACAUUUUUAAGGCACAAACCAUGAGGGAAGGCUUUGUAGGGCAUGUCUACCAUUAGUAGGACUCAAAUAACUCCUCCUUGGGGCAUAGAAAGGGGUCACGAAGUGAAAACAUCUGUAUGUCCCCAUGUCAACCCCAGAUGAAUGUUCCAAUAUCCCAGCCCUAAAUAGGGGCGCUAGGACUAUUUUUAAGAUGCCUGGGUUAUUUUCCCUUCUAUAUUUUGUUGGUAAGGUCAGCCUGGGUUAUUUUCCCUUCUAUAUUUUGUUGGUAAGGUCAGCCUGGGUUAUUUUCCCUUCUAUAUUUUGUUGGUAAGGUCAGCCUGGGUUAUUUUCCCUUCUAUAUUUUGUUGGUAAGGUCAGCCCAAUUCUCACUUGGGUCCCAUGAGAUCCUACCGUACAGCUAUUUCAGUAGCCGUUGAAGACUCAAAACAUGUCUUCUGUGGAGAAAAGCAAAACGAGCCAUGUUUCACACCAUCUAUCCAACUCCCGCUGAGAGCGUUGGCCCAGUAACCGAAAGGUUGUUGGUUCUGAUCCCAGAGGUGACAAAUUUGCCUAUGUGCCCUUGAGCAAAGAAUUGAACCCUAUUCGCUCUGGAUAAGAGCCCCUAUUAUAUGACGGAAAUGUUACAGGAAAUCUCAAAGCCACAAAUAGAACAACAGUGCUUCAUAAAAAACGUGUCAAAAAGUAUUGUUUUUCCCCCACAUUCACUCCUAAAGAGAAGAAAAUAACACGCCUGUUCUGAUACACUGUGGUGGAUUCACGGAGAUCUUAAAGGUGCAGUGGGUUAGGAAGAGUUCCUCAGCAGUUCAACAUCCAACUCCAAUAGCAUUCAACUAAAAGCUGGAACUGCAUCCUCUUUGUUAACAACUGAUUGAAACAUCACACUCCCUCACAAAUAAAUAAAACUGCACCCUGGAACUAAAAGCAAGUCCAAUAUUUGGUCUAAUACUGUAUUGCAAAUGAUGUAUUUAACUUAAUGUUAAGAUUCAACUCUACUCAUACUGAAACGACCAUCAUUGAAAUGAAUAAUACUCUGAAUAUAUUCACUAACACAACGCCUAUUAGAGUGCCACACACCUUUGGAUAAGGAAAAAUAACCCAAAACCCCUCAAGCUUUUCCAAGAGAUCCUAAACCGUUCAUAGGACACUUGUGCAUCAGAUGUGAAUGUAACAUUAUCUUUGUAGAUCCGGUUCCUGCAUAUUAACACUGAUGAAGGACUGGGCUGACAUUUCAAAAUUAGUGGACAGAAAAGGAACAAGGUGAGCAUGUAUGUUUAAGUGUGUGUGUGUGUGUGUAUGCUUAAGUGUUUGUGUGUGUGUGUGUAUGUAAGUGUGUGUGUGUGUGUCAUAGUGUCUUUUAGUAGACAUAUUGAGCACCGUUUUCAAUUCC